rnacentral:rRNA from 1 species
CCUGCUCCAUGAAUUUAAAUAGCCGCAAAUUUUGUGCUAAGGUAGCAUAAUAACUUGUUUCCUAAUUAGAAAAUAGAAUGAAAGGACAAACAUCUAUAUUCUUUAAUUUUAAUUUCCAUCUAAAUUUUAAUAAAAAUCAAAAUAUUUUUAUAAAAUAGGAAGACGACAAGACCCUAAUGAACUUAUCUUUAAAGAUUAACUGGGGAAGUAAAAAAAAGAAAAUUUAUUAUUAUUUUUUAAUAAAAGCUAUAAAGAAAACAAACAAAGUUACCAUAGGGAUAACAGCGUAAUUUAUAUUUAAAGCUCUCAUUUAAAUAUAAUAAUACGACCUCGAUGUUGAAUUAUUAUUCCUGUAAUAAGUACAAAUAUUACAAGAAAGUCUGUUCGACUUUUAAAAUAUUACAU